UACGGAGGGAGCUAGCGUUGUUCGGAAUUACUGGGCGUAAAGCGCGCGUAGGCGGCUUUGUAAGUUAGAGGUGAAAGCCCGGGGCUCAACUCCGGAACUGCCUUUAAGACUGCAUCGCUUGAAUCCGGGAGAGGUGAGUGGAAUUCCGAGUGUAGAGGUGAAAUUCGUAGAUAUUCGGAAGAACACCAGUGGCGAAGGCGGCGCUCUGGACCGAUACUGACGCUGAGGCGCGAAAGCCAGGGGAGCAAACGGG
rnacentral:rRNA from 1 species